GACGAACGCUGGCGGCGUGCUUAACACAUGCAAGUCGAACGGGUGGCGAACGGGUGAGUAAUGUAUGGGGAUCUGCCUGAUGGAGGGGGAUAACUACUGGAAACGGUAGCUAAUACCGCAUACCAUCAGAUGAACCCAUAUGGGAUUAGCUAGUAGGUGAGGUAACGGCUCACAUGGGCGACGAUCCCUAGCUGGUCUGAGAGGAUGAUCAGCCACACUGGAACUGAGACCCGGCCCAGACUCCUACGGAAGGCAGCAGUGGGGAAUAUUGGACAUUGGGCGCAAGCCUGAUGCAGCCAUGCGGGGUGUAUGAAGAAGGCCUUCGGGUUGUAAAGUACUUUCAGUCGGGCGGCGUUACCGACAGAAGAAGCACCGGCUAACUCCGUGCCAGCAGCCGCGGUAAUAC
rnacentral:rRNA from 1 species